GAUGAACGCUGGCGGCGUGCCUAAUACAUGCAAGUCGAACGGAAAGACGAGGAGCUUGCUCCUCUGACGGUAGCGGCGGAGGGGUGAGUAACACGUGGAUAACCCACCUAUAAGACUGGGAUAACUUCGGGAAACCGGAGCUAAUACCGGAUAAUAUAUUGAAGCGCAUGGUGGAAUAGUGAAAGACGGCUUUGCUGUCACUUAUCGAUGGUUCCGCGCCGGAUUAGCUAGUUGGUAAGGUAACGGCUUACCAAGGCAACGAUGCGUAGCAGACCUGAGAGGGUGAUCGGCCACACUGGAACUGAGACACGGUCCAGACUCCUACGGGAGGCAGCAGUAGGGAAUAUUGCGCAAUGGGCGAAAGCCUGACGGAGCAACGCCGCGUGAGUGAUGAAGGCCUUCGGAUCGUAAAGCUCUGUUAUUGGGGAAGAACAGAUGUGUAAGAAAAUAUGCACGUCUUGACGGUACCUGAUCAGAAAGCAACGGCUAACUACGUG
rnacentral:rRNA from 1 species